GCGGUUGUGGCGAAAUUGGUAGACGCGCAUCGUUGAGGUCGAUGUGGAGCAAUCCUUGGGGGUUCAAGUCCCCCCAACCGCACCA
rnacentral:tRNA from 1 species